CAAGUGUCGUGCAAGAGCUCUGGUUUGGCAACGGUUCAAGAGGAGCAACCUUUGCUGUCACAUAUGACUCAUAAUGCCGUGUAAGUCAGACGCUCCUCUCUCGUUAGAUCUUGUCAGAGUGAGAGUUAACCAGGUACACAGAGAUGCAGUGCCGGCAGCCGUUACAUCGGCGUAAGCGAUGCUUCUGUAGCUUCAUCAAGAGCUCGUUUGCAUGGAUGAUAUUAAGGCAUAAAAGCACCGAGCUUCCAUCGGCUCGUCGCAAGUCUCUCUGGUCUCCGUGAUCACCGCCUCAGCGACGCAACCACCUUACACAAGCGCCGCCAUGAACGCAGUUCUCUUCACCGUCCUUCUCG